rnacentral:rRNA from 1 species
CACGUAGGGGGCGAGCGUUGUCCGGAUUCAUUGGGCGUAAAGAGCGCGUAGGCGGCCCUGUAAGUCCGCUGUGAAAGUCAAGGGCUCAACCCUUGGAUGCCGGUGGAUACUGUCGUGCUAGAGUGCGGAAGGGGCUACUGGAAUUCUCGGUGUAGCGGUGAAAUGCGUAGAUAUCGAGAGGAACACCUGCGGCGAAGGCGGGUAGCUGGACCUGGUCUGACGCUGAGGCGCGAAAGCGUGGGGAGCGAACAGG